GCAGUUAAUCACCGCCACGGCUGCCGUACAGCGUGUGCAACCCGCAGAUCAUUAGGUUAAAUGGAGGACAUUCGUGUCCUUCCAGAAUCAAUGCAAUUAUUGUUGGCAACAAGGACAACAAUUGGAGUGGCAGCACUAAUUUUACUAACCUGCUAUUAAUUAUGGUGUCCCCCACGCCCCAGACGGCGUUUAUAACCCGCGGAAGCAAGCGGCGCUGGCUGCUUCUGUUUUAAAACGGGAAAAGUUGGAAGUGGAAUGCCUGGUCGCGUUGGAAAGUGUUAAUCAGUAGGAAAGAGUGUGAUCAGUGGAACUAUUCACUUGAGCGUCACUCUGGUGCAGGGGGUUAGUGAAGUGGCGGCGGCGCCUGGGGACCGAAGGCUCCGUGCCGCGCCGCGCCGCGCAGGUACCGCGCACUGAGACAUGUCUGCGUUAGCUCCCCGCAGCUCCCCGCCGCGCCAGCCAGCGCUCACCAGAGGAGACAAGCCCUGCCAUGGCACAGCCAUCGCUACCAGGUUUUAGCCGAAGCCUGGCGUGAUCGCAGCAUCUAGGGACCUGUGGUUACCAAUCAAUUGGUACAACAGAGCAGAGCCAGGCUGCAGUAGCGUGCAGAUCAGACGCCUCGCCUUGUUUCUAGAUAAUUGGGAGCCUCUGUACCAUGUCCUAUCCUCAGUUUGGCUACCCUUACUCCUCUGCACCCCAGUUCCUGAUGAGCACCAACUCCCUGACGACCUGCUGCGAGUCCAGCAGCCGCACGCUGGCGGAGACGGGGGC
rnacentral:lncRNA from 1 species